CAGAGGGUGCGAGCGUUAAUCGGAGUUACUGGGCGUAAAGGGCGCGUAGGCGGAUAGUUAAGAUUGAUGUGAAAUCCCUGGGCUUAACCUAGGAACUGCGUUGAUUACUGAUUAUCUAGAGUACUGUAGAGGGUAGUGGAAUUUCCGGUGUAGCGGUGAAAUGCGUAGAGAUCGGAAGGAACACCAGUGGCGAAGGCGGCUACCUGGACAGAUACUGACGCUGAGGCGCGAGAGCGUGGGGAGCAAACAGGAUUAGAUACCCUGGUAGUCCACGCUGUAAACGAUGAAGACUAGAUGUUGGUCAGCAUGACUGAUUAGUAUCGAAGCUAACGCGAUAAGUCUUCCGCCUGGGGAGUACGACCGCAAGGUUA
rnacentral:rRNA from 1 species